rnacentral:rRNA from 1 species
UCGAACGCAAGUAGCAAUACUUGAGUGGCGGACGGGUGAGUAACGCGUGAGAAUCUACCUAGAGGACUGGGAUAACAGCUGGAAACGGCUGCUAAUACCAGAUGUGCCGCAACGUGAAAGAGGUUUCCUCGCCUCUAGAAGAGCUCGCGUCUGAUUAGCUAGUUGGUGAGGUAAAGGCUCACCAAGGCUGCGAUCAGUAGCUGGUCUGAGAGGAUGACCAGCCACACUGGGACUGAGACACGGCCCAGACUCCUACGGGAGGCAGCAGUGGGGAAUUUUCCGCAAUGGGCGAAAGCCUGACGGAGCAAGACCGCGUGAGGGAGGAAGGCCUUUGGGUUGUAAACCUCUUUUCUCAGGGAAGAAGAAAGUGACGGUACCUGAGGAAUCAGCCUCGGCCAACUCCGUGCCAGCAGCCGCGGUAAUACGGAGGAGGCAAGCGUUA